rnacentral:rRNA from 1 species
GGCUACACACGUGCUACAAUGGGUAGUACAGAGAGUCGCAAAGCCGCGAGGUGGAGCUAAUCUCAGAAAACUAUUCUUAGUUCGGAUUGUACUCUGCAACUCGAGUACAUGAAGUUGGAAUCGCUAGUAAUCGCGAAUCAGCAAUGUCGCAGGUGAAUACGUCUCUCGGGUCUUGUACACACCGCCCGUCACACCACGAGAGUUGGUUGCACCUGAAGUAGCAGGCCUAACCGUAAGGAGGGAUGCUCCGAGGGUGUGAUUAGCGAUUGGGGUGAAGUCGUAACAAGGUAUCCGUACGGGAACGU